rnacentral:lncRNA from 1 species
GUGGGCCCCGCUGCCCUGCGCGCUCAGCCUAGGAGUCCGCGCGUGGGAGGCGCUGGGCGGGCGGGGACCCCGGGCUGCGGGAGGACGCGACGGGAGCCUGUGCUGGGGCUCGGGCUCAGCAGGGCACUGGACUCCCGAUCUGGCGGCUCAGAACACCUGAGACAGCUCUGAGCGCUCCCACGCGCGCCUGCAGCCUGGUUCACCAGGCCGGCGUCCGAGGGGAGGGUGGGAGCCCUGGGAGCGGCAGCGCGCGGGUGGCCCUUGGUGCACUCUCGGUGAGGCUGUCGAGGGCUUGCUCAACACCCGGCACCAGUGCCGUUGUCCUCUUAGCCGGCCAUUUCUACACCCAUUUUUCAGACAAGGAAACAGGUUGCUAAUUUGGGGAUUCCAGACAUGCUGGGAGGCCCUGCCUCUUCCCAAGCUUUACCCAGAGCACCCAAGUUUCACGACAGCUCUUCUAUUUUUUGUUUGUUUUAAACAGAUUUUCUAUUUUAUUUAAAUAGAGACGAGAUCUCACUAUGUUUGCCUAGGCUGGUCACGAACUCCUGAGCUCCAGUGAUUCUCCCGCCUCGGCUUCCCAAAGUACUAGGAUUACAGUACCAAGAGGAAACGAGACAAGAAUGACAAAAUCACCGAGGCAGGAACAGGAAGGCUGUGGGGUCGGAGGAUUGAGGAAAGGCAAAACCCUCAUGCUAAAGCGGCUUCAGCCCAACUCCAGACAAGAACAGUCCCCUUUCCUGGGCCUCCAUUGCCUGCUCUGGAAAGAGAAGAGUCUCCUGCUCUUCCACCCUCCUGGAGACCACGGUGCUGGCCAUUAUCACUCCUAGGUUUAGACUGCAAGCUCUUUGAGGACAUGGACAAGCUCUCCAGAGCCUGGUACCGAGCCUGGCUCUGGUCUGAGUGUCUGCUGGAUGGAGCAAUGAAAGGAGAAUUCAAAUCAGACGUAGGGGCAGCAUCCAGGUAGGGGAAGGGCCUCUCUGACUCCUCAUCUCUGGGAUGCGCAACUCCAGAAUUCUGUCCUAACCACUUCUAUGGAGUUGCCACAUCCUACCUCCUCCAUUGCACAGCCUGCUUCCCCCUCUCCGGGGGUCCUGGCAGACAGGGGGGUCUGGCCUUGCUGGGGUCGGGGGGGAGUCCAGGUCCCCUCCCAGGAUGUGCUGAGUGGAUAUGUGAGGCUCAUGCCCACAGGCUGACUGAAGGCAGGCCCCUCUUAAACUCUGCAUCCUCUGGGGGCUGGGAGCAGGCAGAAUAAUGGUCGCUACAGGAAUUCGGUACUAAUGCUUGGAAUCUGUGACUGUUAUCUACAUGCAAAGACUUUGCAGAUGUGACUAAAGAUUUUGAAAUGAGAUUAUCCUAGAUUAUCA